GCUCUUCUGAUCUGCUUGUGGGAUGUUGGCUGUUUUUGUAGAACGGAGAUUGGACUAUAUGAAA